AUUGAACGCUGGCGGCAGGCCUAACACAUGCAAGUCGAGCGGAUGAGGAAAGCUUGCUUUUCGAUUCAGCGGCGGACGGGUGAGUAAUGCCUAGGAAUCUGCCUGUUAGUGGGGGAUAACUCGGGGAAACUCGGGCUAAUACCGCAUACGUCCUACGGGAGAAAGUGGGGAUCUUCGGACCUCACGCUAACAGAUGAGCCUAGGUCGGAUUAGCUAGUAGGUGAGGUAAUGGCUCACCUAGGCGACGAUCCGUAACUGGUCUGAGAGGAUGAUCAGUCACACUGGAACUGAGACACGGUCCAGACUCCUACGGGAGGCAGCAGUGGGGAAUAUUGGACAAUGGGCGAAAGCCUGAUCCAGCCAUGCCGCGUGUGUGAAGAAGGUCUUCGGAUUGUAAAGCACUUUAAGUUGGGAGGAAGGGUAUUCACCUAAUGCGUGGGUACUUUGACGUUACCAACAGAAUAAGCACCGGCUAACUCUGUGCCAGCAGCCGCCGUAACAC
rnacentral:rRNA from 1 species